rnacentral:ncRNA from 13 species
CCUCUGGUAGCUCAGUUGGUAGAGCGGUGGACUGUAGUUGGGCGAUAGGGAGCGGAUAUCCAUAGGUCGCUGGUUCAAAUCCGGCCCGGAGGA